GUGGGGCGUGGGGCGUGGGGGGUGGGGGCCUUCUCUCUGUCAGACAGGUGUACAGGUAGACAGGUGAACACGGUUUGCAGGUCGCACUCAUUAGGAGGUCAAGGGGGUUCCUCUGGAGGGGUUGGUGAGAGUCCAGAACCUUUAGCCCAGGUACCACUGAGAGAGACAGAAAGAGAACCGAGGAUUAGAAGAUUUCAACACAGUUUGGCUGGAAUAUAUUAGGUGAGGCCUUCAAACAAAGAGAAUCCAUUUCCAAAUACCAAUCCCAUUUGGAGUGCAACUACUGUGUUUAAGUAUAGUGUUGUCCACUUCAUUCAGGAAAAAGGCAGUAAAGUAACUCCAUCACUAACAUUAAUAAAUACAUUUUUUGUUGGUGAUUGUGUAUGCAGUCUUUUAGGUGUUUGUUUAUACUUUUACUAGGUGUGUAUGUGUGUAUGUGUGUAGUCUUUGAACACGUUGUAUGUGUGUAUGUGUGUAGUCUUUGAACACACUGUAGGUGUGUAUGUGUGUAGUCUUUGAACACUUUGUAGGUGUGUAUGUGUGUAGUCUUUGAACACUUUGUAGGUGUGUAUGUGUGUAGUCUUUGAACACUUUG
ensembl:lncRNA